UCGGCUCGUGGCUUCGUUCCUGUUGAGCCUACGUCAUUGUCGCUGCUCCUCGUGUGGCCAGGGCUACCAAUUCCACGGCAAUCAUCAAGGAGUCCAAGUGUUCAAUAAUUGCUCCAGCAGAUCUUCGUGGUCUUUGGUCAACAUCUUGCAGUCAAAAAAAGAAGAGUAACAAGCGUCCAUAAGCAAAGGGAGAAGAAGACAAAGGAGGAGUCUUUGCUUCGUCCAAUAGGAGGGGGGCUUUGUCUCUCUUCCCUGGUCAACACCGAGCACACAAUAAUCCAGAGAGAGAAUAGAGGCUAGAGCGAGGUAUUUUCUUCGAGGUCUCGGCUUCACGACUCCUCCCACUGCGACGCUGUGCUCCUGCUAGCUACAGCGCUUCCCGUAUUGGACCGAGUGAACGAGCCGCAGUCCUGAUCUUCACCACCACCAACCGUGAUCUACUCCAGCUACUUGUGAACAGCAGUCCAAGAGUCCCUCAGUUGGCCUUCUCAACAUCGACGCCGAUCCUUGCCUCGUUUCGCUGAGUUGUUGUUUAU
rnacentral:lncRNA from 1 species